rnacentral:rRNA from 1 species
UGCGUAACGCGUAUGCAACCUACCUUAUACAGAAGGAUAGCCCCGAGAAAUUGGGAUUAAUACUUCAUGGUAUUACGAGACCACAUGGUUUUGUAAUUAAAACUCCGGUGGUAUAAGAUGGGCAUGCGUAUGAUUAGCUAGUUGGUGAGGUAACGGCUCACCAAGGCGACGAUCAUUAGGGGUCCUGAGAGGGUGAUCCCCCACACUGGUACUGAGACACGGACCAGACUCC